rnacentral:rRNA from 1 species
AUCUGUAGCAAUGCCACCCUGAACAAGCCCAAUCCCGUCUGAUCUUGGAAGCUAAGCAGGGUCGGGCCUUGUUAGUACUUGGAUGGGAGACCACCUAGGAAGACCAGGUGCUGUAGGCA